ensembl:lncRNA
AAGACGCUUGAUGAGAGCCAGAACACAGACGAUCUGAAGCAGCGUCACACUCUUCUGCUGGAGACUGGACUUUAGAGAAAUGAUGCUGAUCUUUGGACUGAUGCUGCUGCUGCAAACUGCUGCAUGUCUGUUGUGCUGAAAAGUUCGAGAAAGGAUUCAUCAAAUGAUGUGAAUCCAUUAAAUGUGAUGUCAGAAAGAUCAAGACAUUAUUUAUAAAGAGAGAAAUGCUGCAGGUUAAUGGAACUGGACAGAAAGUGCAGGACAAAGACAAUUUAUGCUUUAUCAGAAUAAAACAUCUCAACAUGCAAAAAGUGUUUGUAGACAGUGAAAGUAAAUUUGAAUAAAAUCAACAUUUAGAUUUGCUUUUUGACUGAAGAAAAAAAAACAGUUGAUAUUCCAGUGUUAAACAGACAUUUAAAAAUAAUAGGAAUGUGUUAUUUUGUUGUUUUUGUGUGUGUGU